UACGGGGGGGGGCAAGCGUUGUUCGGAAUUACUGGGCGUAAAGGGCUCGUAGGUGGCCAACUAAGUCAGACGUGAAAUCCCUCGGCUUAACCGGGGAACUGCGUCUGAUACUGGAUGGCUUGAGUUCGGGAGAGGGAUGCGGAAUUCCAGGUGUAGCGGUGAAAUGCGUAGAUAUCUGGAGGAACACCGGUGGCGAAGGCGGCAUCCUGGACCAAUACUGACGCUGAGGAGCGAAAGCCAGGGGAGCAAACGGG
rnacentral:rRNA from 1 species